rnacentral:rRNA from 1 species
AGAGUUUGAUCCUGGCUCAGAUUGAACGCUCGCGGAAUGCUUCACACAUGCAAGUCGAACGGCAGCACGGGGGCAACCCUGGUGGCGAGUGGCGAACGGGUGAGUAAUACAUCGGAACGUGCCCAGUCGUGGGGGAUAACGUAGCGAAAGCUACGCUAAUACCGCAUACGAUCUACGGAUGAAAGCGGGGGAUCGCAAGACCUCGCGCGAUUGGAGCGGCCGAUGGCAGAUUAGGUAGUUGGUGGGGUAAAGGCUCACCACGCCUCCGAUCUGUAGCUGGUCUGAGAGGACGACCAGCCACACUGGGACUGAGACACGGCCCAGACUCCUACGGGAGGCAGCAGUGGGGAAUUUUGGACAAUGGGCGCAAGCCUGAUCCAGCCAUUCCGCGUGCAGGAUGAAGGCCUUCGGGUUGUAAACUGCUUUUGUACGGAACGAAAAGGCUCCCUCUAAUACAGGGGGCUCAUGACGUACC